rfam:Oryza punctata chromosome 2, whole genome shotgun sequence.
GGGGAUGUAGCUCAAAUGGUAGAGCGCUCGCUUUGCAUGCGAGAGGCAUGGGGUUCGAUCCCCCGCCAUUUCCU